UGGGGAAUUUUGGACAAUGGGCGAAAGCCUGAUCCAGCAAUGCCGCGUGUGUGAAGAAGGCCUUCGGGUUGUAAAGCACUUUUGUCCGGAAAGAAAUCCUUGGCUCUAAUACAGUCGGGGGAUGACGGUACCGGAAGAAUAAGCACCGGCUAACUACGUGCCAGCAGCCGCGGUAAUACGUAGGGUGCAAGCGUUAAUCGGAAUUACUGGGGCGUAAAGCGUGCGCAGGCGGUUUGCUAAGACCGAUGUGAAAUCCCCGGGCUCAACCUGGGAACUGCAUUGGUGACUGGCAGGCUAGAGUAUGGCAGGAGGGGGGUAGAAUUCCACGUGUAGCAGUGAAAUGCGUAGAGAUGUGGAGGAAUACCGAUGGCGAAGGCAGCCCCCUGGGCCAAUACUGACGCUCAUGCACGAAAGCGCGGGGGAGCAAACAGGAUUAGAUACCCCUGGGUAGUCCACGCCCCUAAACGAUGUCAACUAGUUGUUGGGGGAUUCAUUUCCUUAGUAACGUAGCUAACGCGUGAAGUUGACCGCCUGGGGGAGUACGGUCGCAAGAUUAAAACUUAAUGAAUUGAC
rnacentral:rRNA from 1 species